rnacentral:lncRNA from 1 species
UCACCGGAUGGAGAAGGGCUCCAGGACCCAGGUGCGGAGCAGGCGGCACUCUGGGGAGCAGAUGGGUAGGAAAACAGGUGGCGUUGGGGCAUAGCCCCUCCAGGGCAGUGGGGUCACACGCCUGCCCAGGCCACUUCUGCCCAAUCAGAGAGCAGGGAGCCACUAGACACUGGCAAUGGCCCCCGGAAGUGACGCCUUCUCCUCCCACCCGCGCAGGACCUGGAGCCCCUGCCUGGACCAUGGUUCACUAGCGGAGCCCCAGAUCCUCCACCCACGCACACCACACAGAGGAUUUGAACAGGGGGAUCUGUCUUUCCCUAGGAGAUGGGAAAUCUGGGACCUGGUUGGGGGAGAAGAUGGGAGGGAAACAGGUUUUUUCCAGGAGGAUUCUGGCAGGACACUUUUGUCCCUGAGGAAGAGGCACGGAGGUCUGGCUUUAGAAUGGAACCCAGUCCUAGCCCAGUGGCUGGCCCAGGCCUCGGGCAGUCUCUGCCCCUCCCUGGUCUGGGGUUCCCAUCCUGGGCCGGACACGCACCUCCUGGUCCAGCUUGGAGGGGGGGGGCUCCAGACCCGCCUCUCCUCCCGUCUUUGCGCCCCCUGGUCCCUCCCCUCCCCUCCCUCCCCUCCCCCUCCCCACCCCCUUCUCCUACAGCCCCUCCCUCCUCCCCUGCCCGGUUCCAGCCCCUCCCUCCCCUCCCCCAUUCGCGAUCCGGGCCGCUGCUGCUGGGCCGGACCCCCCGGGCUCAGCCCGGCCCCUCGCCGAGCCGCCGCCGCCGCCCCGUUUGCUGAGGAGGAGGCCCCCGGCCGGGGCGCCGGGCGCGGGGCAUAAAACGGGCCAGAGCCGUCGCCCGGGGCACUAGAGCCGCGUACGGCCCGGGUCAGCGGCCGCCAGCCCGCCCGCGCUCCUCCCGGCCGCUCCUCCCGCCCCACCCGGCCCGGCGCCGACUCCGCGGCCGCCCGACGAGCCCCUAGCCGCACAGCUCGGGCCCUGGCCCCGGCCCCCUCCCGCCGUACCGCCCCCGGCCCGGCCCUCCUCCCACCUCCCUCCUCCUUCUCCAGCUCCCU